AGUCGUAACAAGGUAUCCGUAGGUGAACCUGCGGAUGGAUCAUUACCAAAGAUUUUUCCAAAGUCUUGUGAACCGUUUCGAACUACACUGUCGGGGUGCUAAAUCGGGUGGAGCUUGUCUCCGCUCGACUGACCACCCCGACGGUACAAAUACACGUAUAUACACCUAAACUGACGUCUACUUUAGUAGUAGUAAAUCAAACUAAAGACAACUUUUAGCAACGGAUCUCUUGGCUCUC
rnacentral:misc_RNA from 1 species